UACGAAGGGGGCUAGCGUUGCUCGGAAUCACUGGGCGUAAAGGGUGCGUAGGCGGGUCUUUUAAGUCAGGGGUGAAAUCCUGGAGCUCAACUCCAGAACUGCCUUUGAUACUGAAGAUCUUGAGUCCGGGAGAGGUGAGUGGAACUGCGAGUGUAGAGGUGAAAUUCGUAGAUAUUCGCAAGAACACCAGUGGCGAAGGCGGCUCACUGGCCCGGUACUGACGCUGAGACGCGAAAGCGUGGGGAGCAAACAGG
rnacentral:rRNA from 1 species